UCCGUGGCUCAGGACAACGCUGGCGGCGUGCUUAACACAUGCAAGUCGAGCGAUGAAACACCUUCGGGUGUGAAUUAGCGGCGAACGGGUGAGGAACACGUGAAGAAUCUGCCUUCAACUCUGGGAUAACUCCGGGAAACCGGGGCUAAUACCGGAUAUGAGCCUUGAUCGCAUGAUCGGGGCUGGAAAGUUUUUCGGUUGAAGAUGACUUCGCGGCCUAUCAGCUUGUUGGUGAGGUAAUGGCUCACCAAGGCGACGACGGGUAGCCGGCCUGAGAGGGCGACCGGCCACACUGGGACUGAGACACGGCCCAGACUCCUACGGGAGGCAGCAGUGGGGAAUAUUGGGCAAUGGAGGAAACUCUGACCCAGCGACGCCGCGUGAGGGAUGAAGGCCUUCGGGUUGUAAACCUCUUUCAGUAGGGAAGAAGCGAAAGUGACGGUACCUACAGAAGAAGCACCGGCUAACUAUGUG
rnacentral:rRNA from 1 species